rnacentral:ribozyme from 10 species
UUUUUUUUUUUUUUUUUUUUUUUUUCAGGAAUGGCAAAGAAAGAGAAA